rnacentral:rRNA from 1 species
AUCCUCCAAGGCUAAAUACUCCUGACUGACCGAUAGUGAACCAGUACCGUGAGGGAAAGGCGAAAAGAACCCCGGCGAGGGGAGUGAAAAAGAACCUGAAACCGUGUACGUACAAGCAGUGGGAGCACGCUUAGGCGUGUGACUGCGUACCUUUUGUAUAAUGGGUCAGCGACUUAUAUUCUGUAGCAAGGUUAACCGAAUAGGGGAGCCGAAGGGAAACCGAGUCUUAACUGGGCGUUAAGUUGCAGGGUAUAGACCCGAAACCCGGUGAUCUAGCCAUGGGCAGGUUGAAGGUUGGGUAACACUAACUGGAGGACCGAACCGACUAAUGUUGAAAAAUUAGCGGAUGACUUGUGGCUGGGGGUGAAAGGCCAAUCAAACCGGGAGAUAGCUGGUUCUCCCCGAAAGCUAUUUAGGUAGCGCCUCGUGAAUUCAUCUCCGGGGGUAGAGCACUGUUUCGGCAAGGGGGUCAUCCCGACUUACCAACCCGAUGCAAACUGCGAAUACCGGAGAAUGUUAUCACGGGAGACACACGGCGGGUGCUAACGUCCGUCGUGAAGAGGGAAACAACCCAGACCGCCAGCUAAGGUCCCAAAGUCAUGGUUAAGUGGGAAACGAUGUGGGAAGGCCCAGACAGCCAGGAUGUUGGCUUAGAAGCAGCCAUCAUUUAAAGAAAGCGUAAUAGCUCACUGGUCGAGUCGGCCUGCGCGGAAGAUGUAACGGGGCUAAACCAUGCACCGAAGCUGCGGCAGCGACGCUGAUGCGUUGUUGGGUA